rnacentral:rRNA from 1 species
CGAGCGAGCUUGCCUAGAUGAUUUUAGUGCUUGCACUAAAUGAAACUAGAUACAAGCGAGCGGCGGACGGGUGAGUAACACGUGGGUAACCUGCCCAAGAGACUGGGAUAACACCUGGAAACAGAUGCUAAUACCGGAUAACAACACUAGACGCAUGUCUAGAGUUUGAAAGAUGGUUCUGCUAUCACUCUUGGAUGGACCUGCGGUGCAUUAGCUAGUUGGUAAGGUAACGGCUUACCAAGGCAAUGAUGCAUAGCCGAGUUGAGAGACUGAUCGGCCACAUUGGGACUGAGACACGGCCCAAACUCCUACGGGAGGCAGCAGUAGGGAAUCUUCCACAAUGGACGAAAGUCUGAUGGAGCAACGCCGCGUGAGUGAAGAAGGGUUUCGGCUCGUAAAGCUCUGUUGGUAGUGAAGAAAGAUAGAGGUAGUAACUGGCCUUUAUUUGACGGUAAUUACUUAGAAAGUCACGGCUAACUACGUGCCAGCAGCCGCGGUAAUACGUAGGUGGCAAGCGUUGUCCGGAUUUAUUGGGCGUAAAGCGAGUGCAGGCGGUUCAAUAAGUCUGAUGUGAAAGCCUUCGGCUCAACCGGAGAAUUGCAUCAGAAACUGUUGAACUUGAGUGCAGAAGAGGAGAGUGGAACUCCAUGUGUAGCGGUGGAAUGCGUAGAUAUAUGGAAGAACACCAGUGGCGAAGGCGGCUCUCUGGUCUGCAACUGACGCUGAGGCUCGAAAGCAUGGGUAGCGAACAGGAUUAGAUACCCUGGUAGUCCAUGCCGUAAA